rnacentral:lncRNA from 1 species
CAGAAAAUGGGGGGCCCAAGGAGAGGGAGAUAAAUUAAGGAGAGGAAGAAAGAUGAAGGAAGGGUCAGUUGGUGGAGCUAUCGUAACACACACAAUAUUUACUAUUAAGUUCACUGUUUUAUAUGAGUGUGGUUCAUGGCACUCCAAAAUAAUUACAACAGUAACAUCAAAGAUCACUGAUCACAGUUCACCAUAACAGAAAUAACAAGUCUGAAAUAUUGUGAGAAUCACCAAAAUGGGACACAGAGACACGAAGUGAGCACAUGUUGUUGGAAAAUGGCACCAAUAGACUUGCUCCAUGCAGAGUUGCCACAAACUUUCAAUUUGUGAAACAUGCGAUAUCUGCAAAGCACAAUAAAGUGAAGUACAAUUAUGCCUGUAUAUGUGCCCUGUUUAAAUAGCAGCCACUAGCUACAUGCAACUGCUAAGCACUUGAAAUACGGCUAGUGCAAUGGAUGAACUAAAUUUUUCAUUUCAUUUCAUUUAAAUUAGUUUAAAAUUCAAUGAAAUACUCAAGUGGCCAAUGGCUACUGCAUUGGACAGCACAGAUCUACAACUUAAUGGCUAAUGAAUGACCAUAUUCAUCUGUGGAGCAGAGGAGAGUGUCUAAAACAGCAUAGUGACCAAAAUAAUACAAGCCUAAAUAAAAAAGAAUCAUGAUUUAAAAGACUACAAUUUUCAAAACUAUUAAGUCUUGCUUUCUGCAACUUGUGACUUAACACACCUCUUUGACAGAUUCUUGUAUUAUUUCACCAGAAACAGAACAGAAUUCAGUUGUGUUUCACUAAAUACAUGGCUUCAUCUUUUGGGACUUGGUUUCCUCAUCUGUAAAGUGAAGUGGUUGGACUUCGUUAGAUCAUAUUUAAAUUUUUCUUUCAGCUACAGAGUUUGGAAGCACAUUUAAGUGAAUUGCUGGGAAAAACUGUGUGUUUGAUUUUAGGUCUCAUCUGUGAAUUCCUGUCUCAUCAUCAGAAUCUCUCCAACAUGUUUUCCUUUCCCUCUGUACUUCUGACUCCCUCUUAUCUGCCCAUAGUUCAAAAGAUUUCUCCUGUCUGAUAGAUUUAUCCUUCUGCAUUUGUGCUGUCAAAGAGCUUUGUUUAGACAGAGUCCAGACAUACUUGUGUGUUGCUUAUGAAUUCUAAUUAAGAAGGACAACUCCACAUGAGUCAAGGUUAUCUUUAAAAAAAUAGAACUUUAGUCUAAGAUCAGAAAGGAAGAAAAACAUUAUAAAAUAAACUUGGCAAAAAGAACUCCAAAGUUUAAACCAAACUAAGAUGGGAAGCAUAGGAAGCAUGUUUUUCUUUCACAAAAUCAGAUUAAUUCUUAUUUGAAGGGUUCUUUGAGCAUAAAGAAACUGCCAUUGCAGAAAUGCAGAUUUCUGAUGUGGCCACCUUGAGUUUGUUGAAGAAAAACAAUUCUGAAAAUUCACUCAGGUCCCUCUGGCUCCCCAGGUUCUUUGCACCCUGAUAAAGAAAAAGAUUACACAUGCGCCACCUUUUGGAAAAAAUGGGAAUAGCAGCAAAGAGGUCAGAUUCAAAGACCAUUAGCUCUAUUUCACCCUCAAAGGGAAAAACAAAAAGCCAAAUAUCAUUUAUUUUUAUUAUAAUAUUUAAAAGUUAUAUCCCCCAGAGGUUUAUUAAUCAUGUGACAUAGAACUAUUAGUAAAGUCUGAAUCAAAACUUGGAUUUGGUUUUUCUCAUUUUCAAAAUGGUAAUAAGUUGAUUUUGCUUUAAAACAGUAAGUCUGAAAUAACCACAAAAUAGCAAAACACUGUCUCAAAUCCUAAUGUCACAGUUUUCAUUUAUCCUUGGUCAUGGAUAUAGAUCUACGGGGAAAAUUAAUUGUUUCUAUUUAUUCUAUCCUAGUUACAAUAAUCCUUAACUUUAAGUAUUGUACCUCCCUUUUUCUUAGUACUUAGAGUAGAAAACCAGAGAAGCAAAUCCAUUUAUUUUACUAGAAAGAAAAUUCUUACUUGUUUUAUCUAGAACCAUGAAAAAGAAGUGGUAUCACAAAUCUGCUUAGUUUUUUUGGACUUGAAGCGUAGAGUCGAAGGCUUUUGAGAUUCCACAAUGCUUGGGAGAAAAUGUGGAUGUCUCCAGGGAGGCCAUACCUAAUGAGGAGCUCCCAACAAAUGGCAACUGAUGUUACCUACAACCGAAUACGUCAAGAAGCCUCUGUAUGGGUUGGAGGAGUCUUGCCUGUGAAAUGUUUCCAAGAGUACAAGCCCAGUAGCAGCACUGGUUGCAAAAGAGUUUUCUUCACUAUCCUCUGGCAUUCAGAGAAUUGCUUUGUAGACAUAUUGAUUGACGGCCAUCUAUCCACACAUCAGGCAUUCUAAAUGGCUCCCUUCUGGACUAUCUCAGAAGAAGAAAUAUUCAUUAGCCCUUCAAAACACAACACUGAGGACAACUCUGUCAAAGAAGAUAUUUCUACGCACAGCGAAAGUCAAAAAUUACAUUAUUCCUGGGAAACACACUCGCUUCAGCCUGCACCAACCAAAAUGACUGCUCAAAGGCCAUUCAGCCCCUUUAUCACUGUGGCUCAACUUUGAUUUUCUUCCCAGUUCAUCCAUGAUUCAGACUUCUUCUGUUUCAGGAGCUUUGCCCAUGCGUUCUGCCACCUUCUGCCAGGAAUUACACCUGUCCCAUCCCGUCGUCUCCUGAAUGUCCAGAGACAGGGGUCUCCCCGUGUUGUCCAGAACGGUCUUGAACUCCUGGUCUUCAAGCAAUCUUCCUGCCUUGGUCUCUCAAAGUGCUGGGAUUACAAGUGUGAGCCACCAUACCCGGUCAUAGCGCUCUUAUAAAAUGCAUCAUCACAUUUAUUUUAUAAAUUCAGAAACAAAAGUCUGUAUAGAGAAGUUUUGAAGUUACUAGGGACCUGAAAAUCAUACUGAAGAUGUCUGCAACUAAAAACUCGAAGAGUUCCGAGGCUAGAGGGGUCAGGAGAUGAAUAAAAACGUUAGCCCCAGCUGAUCACAAUGAGGUUAAUCACAAUACUAAUUAAAAAUACUACAGAUCCUAGGACAAUGGUCAGAAGAGUGACUAUACUUUCCUGUUUGCCCUUGGAAAAUCGAGGGCUGACUUUUCUACGUGCUCAGAUAACCUAAAUUGAUAGAGAGAAAGCUAGCAGAGGAUAAGAUAAACUAGUUAACUGUAAAUAAGAUUUUGCUGUUGGAGAAUCUUCUUGUUGCUCUGGUUUUAGAUAGCGGAGGAAGCCAAAAAAUAUCUGCUUUAAGUUACCAGGAGUUGAAGUUCAUCCCUGCUGAAGUUAACAGGUUGCUUCCCUUUUUCUGGUGUAUUCUUACUUUACUGGCAAAGAGAAAAUAAAUUAAUACCUUAUUGU